CCCCGAAAAGCCUAAAUCCACACACGUGUCGACACGAUGACCUGGGUGCCUUCGGCCUUGCUGCCGAUCGGUUGGUCAUUGGGAUACGUGGAGGCCAAAC
rfam:Pseudomonas fuscovaginae strain IRRI 6609 Pf_IRRI_6609_contig_2.2, whole genome shotgun sequence.